CAUCCUCCAAGGCUAAAUACUCCUGACUGACCGAUAGUGAACCAGUACCGUGAGGGAAAGGCGAAAAGAACCCCGGCGAGGGGAGUGAAAAAGAACCUGAAACCGUGUACGUACAAGCAGUGGGAGCACCCUUUGGGGUGUGACUGCGUACCUUUUGUAUAAUGGGUCAGCGACUUAUAUUCUGUAGCAAGGUUAACCGAAUAGGGGAGCCGGAGGGAAACCGAGUCUUAA
rnacentral:rRNA from 3 species